UGGGGAAUAUUGGUCAAUGGACGCAAGUCUGAACCAGCCACGCCGCGUGAGUGAUGAAGGCCUUCGGGUUGUAAAGCUCUGUGGGGAGGGAAGAAAACGGCCGGUAAGAAACGACCGGUCCUUGACGGUACCUCCUUAGCAAGCACCGGCUAACUCUGUGCCAGCAGCCGCGGUAAUACAGAGGGUGCGAACGUUGCUCGGAAUUACUGGGCGUAAAGCGCAUGUAGGCGGGUCUGCAAGUCAGAUGUGAAAUCCCCGGGCUCAACCCGGGAACUGCAUCUGAAACUGCAGGCCUUGAGUACUGGAGAGGGUGGCGGAAUUCCUGGUGUAGAGGUGAAAUUCGUAGAUAUCAGGAGGAACACCGGUGGCGAAGGCGGCCACCUGGACAGUAACUGACGCUGAGAUGCGAAAGCGUGGGGAGCAAACAG
rnacentral:rRNA from 1 species